AAUUGUCAAAGAGCAAAGUAAACUGUGGCAAAAAAUCAAAUCGCCCCCUUCUCUCACGGCCUCUACGAGCAUCCGCAAAUCCUCCUCCUUCCCUAAUCUCCUUCCUUUUGCCUCUCAAUCACGAAUCAGGAUCCAUGGAGCUGUCCGACAAGUGCUACUCGAUCUGCUAUACGGCAGCGGCGGGGACCACCGGCCGUCGGUCUGCCUCUCGCUGCUCAUCCUCCGGGAGGCUGCGCGCGGAGGGAACUCGCUGUUGGCGAGGUUCCGCGGAGUGCCAAGCGGGUGCUCUUCGCCGGCGGGGACGAGCAUGACCUUCUCUUCCCCGGCCUCUUCACCCCCAAGGGCACCGACCCCAGGAAGAUCCCUAGGUUGCCCUACAAGAACCUAAAGUGGCGGCUGCGAGGAGGUGGCCGAUGGGGUUCGGCGACCGGACGGGGGCAUGGGCGUCGAUCUUCCUCCUCCUGCUCCCAGUCGCAGGCGCCGCCACCAUCGACCAGAUCUUCACCACGACCCCUCGCACUACCUUGCCGCCGCUGUGUCGCAGGCCAUCGCCCACGCCCUCAUCUCACUGCCGGCCACCAAGUAUAUGAGGCACGCUGGUGGUGUCAAGUACUUUGGCGAGCUGGAGGAACAUUGCUUUCUAGGGCAAUGAAGUGAAGCUCUACGAACGCCAUGUGGAUAAGCUCUUCACAAUGUUUGGACACAAAGAGCCAAAGAUCGACUAUUAUGUCUGCACCAUCAACAAGACGUUUGCCAAACCAGGCCAGGGCAUGGUAUGCUCAAAUGCAUUGCCUGGUCAAUGUUUACUAACUACACGAUGUAGCAAGUUGUAUCUUCAUACUAUAGACUUAGACUCAAACUUUUUAUUCAUUUUUUAACAGAAAACAUGUUGAUUGAUUCUCACUGAGUAUCUGUGCUUUUAACUUUAUCUUUUGAACACCACUACUGAUGCUUUAGUGCCAUGCCCACACUGUAUGUGAAAAUGACAAAUUUGCUUUGUAUAUCUAUCUGUAAGCCCAAUUUUCUUUCAUCGGUAUUUUAUCUCACUCUAAUACUUUGUUAUACUCAAUAAGAUUCAUUCAACUCUCUUUUGCAAUAUUACUUGUUUCUCUCAGAAUUCUAUAAUCUGUUGUGCUCGGCCAUUCGAUUACCCGCACAUCUAUUUUUAGCUCAUAUAAAAAAAUCAUGUUCUGUUCAUACUACUUAACAGUCAACAGUUUAGUCAUCUUACAAAAACCAAUUAUGUUCCCUUUCCCACUCCAUACAAGAUAGAUCAAGACCUGGGCUAUUGUUAUUUUUCUCCUGCCACUUUCGAAGUCUUUUACUUGAUCUUUUCUAGCUUACUAUAUGACCUGUGUUGUUGUCAUCUUUUACUACUCCCUCCGUUCCUAAAUAUUUGUCUUUUUAGAGAUUUCAGAUGGACUACCACAUAUGGAUGUAUAUAGACAUAUUUUAGAGUGUAGAUUCACUCAUUUUGCUCCAUAUGUAGUCACUUGUUGAAAUCUCGAUAAAGACAAAUAUUUAGGAACGAGGGAGUAUAUGAACUUUCGUACAAGAUAUUUUAAUUUGUUUGUUCUCUACUCAUACAUUAGGGCAGACUCAAAAUUGAGAUAUGGAGACCAGAAAUAUUGAGAUAUGUUUGCUCUUUCAUCUGCCAUUUUACUUGAGCAUUCAUAAAUUUGGGUCCUCUUGAGGUGUAGUCUUUUUUGUUGUUGCAAAGUUUUAGCUAUGUGUACCAAGUGAGCACAUAUUACACGGUUCUUAUAUAUUCCUGUUAGUACAAGUAUAUUCUUUGAGAAGAAUUCUUGCCAUGAACUAACUGCUUUUCUUUGUCUGCAUAGUACUUUCAGGUGGAAUACACAGAGGGUGAGCUCCAUAAGUACAAUCAUGAAGAUGAUGACACUCUCUCACUCAAGCUCGUAGACGGCACAAUGACCUAUGACACCCGAUUCAUCCUUGGAACCGGCAAGAGGGCUACCAUCGCGACGAACUGGUCAUGGUUUCGCCACCACGCCAACAUCCACGAGGGUGAAAUAUGUGUCUUCCAUUUCAAGCGCAAAGCAGUGCGCCGCCUUUCGCGCACGGUCCAUCACGUCUACACGCAAUGAUGUCUCUGCUGUCUAUCGCGUAUGCAUAUGAUCCAUCUAUCAUCUUUAGCUUAUCUAAUACUUGAUAUUCCUGCGUUAUGAUGAUGCGAUGAACUCUGCCUCUCCUUUUGGAACAUCUUAGGCAUUGAUUUCAAUCAAUUGCUGUGCUAUAGCAUCCAGCUUGUAAGACUUUGACCUACCUGUUCAUAUAGACCUCCUGGUUGCUAUGCUAUAUUAGUCAACACUCUAAUGAUGUAUUUCUGUGAAGUGUGCUUUUUUUAAACAUUUGGCGAUCA